UACGAAGGGGGCUAGCGUUGUUCGGAAUUACUGGGCGUAAAGCGCACGUAGGCGGAUUGUUAAGUGAGGGGUGAGAUCCCAGGGCUCAACCCUGGAACUGCCUUUCAUACUGGCAAUCUAGAGUUCGAGAGAGGUGAGUGGAAUUCCGAGUGUAGAGGUGAAAUUCGUAGAUAUUCGGAAGAACACCAGUGGCGAAGGCGGCUCACUGGCCCGUUACCGACGCUCAGGCGCGACAGCGUGGGGAGCAAACAGG
rnacentral:rRNA from 1 species